GAUGAACGCUGGCGGCGUGCUUAACACAUGCAAGUCGAACGAGGGUUAUCGGUUGAAGUUUUCGGACGGAAACUGAUAAUUCCUAGUGGCGGACGGGUGAGUAACGCGUGGGGAACCUGCCCCAUUCCGGGGGAUACCAGUUGGAAACGACUGUUAAUACCGCAUAAGCGCACAGCAUUGCAUGAUGCAGUGUGAAAAACUCCGGUGGAAUGGGAUGGCCCCGCGUCUGAUUAGCCAGUUGGCAGGGUAACGGCCUACCAAAGCGACGAUCAGUAGCCGGGCCUGAGAGGGCGACCGGCCACAUUGGGACUGAGACACGGCCCAA
rnacentral:rRNA from 1 species